UACGGAGGGAGCUAGCGUUGUUCGGAAUUACUGGGCGUAAAGCGCACGUAGGCGGCUUUGUAAGUUAGAGGUGAAAGCCCGGGGCUCAACCCCGGAAUUGCCUUUAAGACUGCAUCGCUUGAAUCCGGGAGAGGUGAGUGGAAUUCCGAGUGUAGAGGUGAAAUUCGUAGAUAUUCGGAAGAACACCAGUGGCGAAGGCGGCCGGCUGGGGGCGCCCUGACGCUGAGGCGCGAGAGCGUGGGGAGCAAACCGG
rnacentral:rRNA from 1 species